UGGGGAAUAUUGCACAAUGGGCGCAAGCCUGAUGCAGCCAUGCCGCGUGUAUGAAGAAGGCCUUCGGGUUGUAAAGUACUUUCAGCGGGGAGGAAGGUGUUGAGGCUAAUAACCUCAGCAAUUGACGUUACCCGCAGAAGAAGCACCGGCUAACUCCGUGCCAGCAGCCGCGGUAAUACGGAGAGUGCAAGCGUUAAUCGGAAUUACUGGGCGUAAAGCGCACGCAGGCGGUCUGUCAAGUCGGAUGUGAAAUCCCCGGGCUCAACCUGGGAACUGCAUUCGAAACUGGCAGGCUAGAGUCUUGUAGAGGGGGGUAGAAUUCCAGGUGUAGCGGUGAAAUGCGUAGAGAUCUGGAGGAAUACCGGUGGCGAAGGCGGCCCCCUGGACAAAGACUGACGCUCAGGUGCGAAAGCGUGGGGAGCAAACA
rnacentral:rRNA from 1 species